CCUUAGAGUUUGAUCCUGGCUCAGGACGAACGCUGGCGGCGCGCCUAACACAUGCAAGUCGAACGGAGCUGAGAGGAGCUUGCUUUUCUUAGCUUAGUGGCGAACGGGUGAGUAACGCGUGAGUAACCUGCCCUGGAGUGGGGGACAACAGUUGGAAACGACUGCUAAUACCGCAUAAGCCCACGGCCCGGCAUCGGGCUGAGGGAAAAGGAUUUAUUCGCUUCAGGAUGGACUCGCGUCCAAUUAGCUAGUUGGUGAGGUAACGGCCCACCAAGGCGACGAUUGGUAGCCGGACUGAGAGGUUGAACGGCCACAUUGGGACUGAGACACGGCCCAGACUCCUACGGGAGGCAGCAGUGGGGGAUAUUGCACAAUGGGGGAAACCCUGAUGCAGCGACGCCGCGUGGAGGAAGAAGGUUUUCGGAUUGUAAACUCCUGUCGUUAGGGACGAUAAUGACGGUACCUAACAAGAAAGCACCGGCUAACUACGUGCCAGCAGCCGCGGUAAAACGUAGGGUGCAAGCGUUGUCCGGAAUUACUGGGUGUAAAGGGAGCGCAGGCGGACCGGCAAGUUGGAAGUGAAAACUAUGGGCUCAACCCAUAAAUUGCUUUCAAAACUGCUGGCCUUGAGUAGUGCAGAGGUAGGUGGAAUUCCCGGUGUAGCGGUGGAAUGCGUAGAUAUCGGGAGGAACACCAGUGGCGAAGGCGACCUACUGGGCACCAACUGACGCUGAGGCUCGAAAGCAUGGGUAGCAAACAGGAUUAGAUACCCUGGUAGUCCAUGCCGUAAACGAUGAUUACUAGGUGUUGGAGGAUUGACCCCUUCAGUGCCGCAGUUAACACAAUAAGUAAUCCACCUGGGGAGUACGACCGCAAGGUUGAAACUCAAAGGAAUUGACGGGGGCCCGCACAAGCAGUGGAGUAUGUGGUUUAAUUCGAAGCAACGCGAAGAACCUUACCAGGUCUUGACAUCCGAUGCAUAGCGCAGAGAUGCGUGAAGUCCUUCGGGACAUCGAGACAGGUGGUGCAUGGUUGUCGUCAGCUCGUGUCGUGAGAUGUUGGGUUAAGUCCCGCAACGAGCGCAACCCUUAUUGCCAGUUACUACGAAAGAGGACUCUGGCGAGACUGCCGUUGACAAAACGGAGGAAGGUGGGGAUGACGUCAAAUCAUCAUGCCCCUUAUGACCUGGGCUACACACGUAAUACAAUGGCGGUCAACAAAGGGAUGCAAAGCCGCGAGGCAGAGCGAACCCCAAAAAGCCGUCCCAGUUCGGAUCGCAGGCUGCAACCCGCCUGCGUGAAGUCGGAAUCGCUAGUAAUCGUGGGUCAGCAUACCACGGUGAAUACGUUCCCGGGCCUUGCACACACCGCCCGUCA
rnacentral:rRNA from 1 species